UAAUAGUUCAUUUUAGUUGCCUGUUAAUUAUUAUUGGUAGUUGUUAAUUAUGUUAUUUGUGAUAAAUAUUAAUCUAAUGAUGUGUUAGUUAUCUGUGUAGUUUCCUAAAUCAUAUUUUAUAUGUUUAAUCCUAAAUAGUCUAAGGCCAGUUUAGGUCUAUGGCUAUUUGAUUAUGUUUACAUGCUUCGUUUAGCCUAAAUCAUGUUUGCUAUGCUGCUAGUAUGCUUUAUCAGUCUAUGUGUUAAGAGAUUGUGUCCUGUAUCCUAGUUUUAAUUAAUUAACCGGUUAAUUAGUUAAUUUUGGUCAUAAUUAAAGUGUCUAAUUAAUAGACACUUCCAAAUAUGGCCAUUUUUUUAUACUAAGAAUAGCGUUUUUGCCCUGUGUAUACACAUGUAUACAGAUAUAUACAUGCAUAUACAUGUAUUUAUGUUAUAUCAUGUAUACACGAGUUUAAAUAUCCUCCCCCUUUUAUUUUUAGCCAGGCUCAGUCUAAUGGAUCAAGACCUAGGUUAUCUCGCACAUACACACACACAUACACAACCCAAACAGACCUCUAAGGACCUGUGUUGAUUAUUUUGCUUUUGUAGGGCUGAGAAUGGCAAGAUCAUUUAAUGCUCUGUCAUUUCUCAACUAAAUCCACUGAGGUCCAACCCAAACAUGAUAUAAUCUUACCCCUUUCCAUACCUUUUCUGCAUUUUCCAACGGAUAGGACUGAAAAUCCUUAAUUAUCUUUGUUGUAUUCAUUUUUGAAUUUGCGAUUGUUAUUGGUCCGUGAAGAAUCAUGCGAAUAGACCUCGUAUUAGUCCAAUCUGACCUUUGAUUGUUUCUUUACCUUCAAUCUGGACCUUUGAUUGUUAGAGGAAAGCUAUUUUCAAAAAAUUGCUAAAAUCCCACAUCGUUGGGAAUUAGGGUUUCUAUAUAAAUAACCCCAACCCUUCAAUUACACAGACCUUACAAGCUUGAUAUAUACUUGAGCUAAAAACUCGACUAAAACUAAGGCUAGCAAUUUUCUUAAAACCUUGACCUAAUCGGGAGUAGUCUAAUUAUUUUUUUCUUUUCUUGUUUGUGGCUGAGCUUUGGGGUUGAGGAGAAAAGGAUCUCCAAGGUUCAAUCUCGACAAUAGGCUGCACGUAAAAAAGGAACUGAUGAAUUUGAGGAGUAGAGACUUUCUGCUAGGUCGAGACUUGAGGAUUGGAGUGACAUUAUUGGUUGUGCUAGUGUUUAUAGUUAUUCUGUAGAAUCGUGGAAAACUUGGCAAGAAUUGUGCUUAGGUGCUUCACCAUAAGGUUGUAGAGUUUGAGACAGGUUUCGCUUUUACUUCUCGGAGCUGAGUUUUGAGGCAUGGGUUACGAGUAUCCAGGGUAAGCAUAUGCCGAGUCUCUGUCUGGAGGCUCAUCUAUCAUGUCUUUAUAUUCCAUAAUUUAGAUAGCUUUUUGUUGG